GCUGAUUUGGGUACUGCUGUGUGUAAGACCCUGAAUUUGCAGCUAACCAAUGCCCAUCCGUGGCUGUACACAGUCCUGUUCAGUGGAGUGUUCAGUCAGGUGAGAGAGCUGCAAGGCUUUGUCUGUCCCUGAUGAACCCAGGUAAGUGUAAGCUUAUGGUGUAGCAUGGAUCAUCACAUGGGACAGCGAUCGUCCUCCAUGUUGCUUUUCCAUACGACGGAUAAGAUCCCUCCAAGGGUGUGAGUUGUGCCGUUGGCAGUAGGUCACAGCAGGAACGUGUCGGCGGUGUCCAGCAGACCUCCUCUCUUUCAGCAAUGUAGUGGUUCGCCUAGCGGGCUGUAGCUUGGCGUGGCUCCUUAGGUGAGUUGACUUUGCUGCAGUUUGAUUUUGUG